rnacentral:sRNA from 1 species
GCAAGCAGUGGUGUACAAACGAAAUGAA